UACAGAGGGUGCAAGCGUUGUUCGGAAUUAUUGGGCGUAAAGAGCUCGUAGGCGGCUUGUUGCGUCGACCGUGAAAACCCGUGGCUCAACUGCGGGCUUGCGGUCGAUACGGGCGGGCUAGAGUUCGGUAGGGGAGACUGGAAUUCCUGGUGUAGCGGUGAAAUGCGUAGAGAUGCGGAGGAACACCGAUGGCGAAGGCAGCCCCCUGGGCCAAUACUGACGCUCAGGCACGAAAGCGUGGGGAGCAAACGAGGAU
rnacentral:rRNA from 1 species